rnacentral:rRNA from 1 species
AUUGAACGCUGGCGGCAGGCCUAACACAUGCAAGUCGAGCGGAUGAAGGGAGCUUGCUCCUGGAUUCAGCGGCGGACGGGUGAGUAAUGCCUAGGAAUCUGCCUGGUAGUGGGGGAUAACGUCCGGACACGGGCGCUAAUACCGCAUACGUCCUGAGGGAGAAAGGGGGGGAUCUUCGGACCUUACGCUAUCAGAUGAGCCUAGGUCGGAUUAGCUAGUUGGUGGGGUAAAGGCCUACCAAGGCGACGAUCCGUAACUGGUCUGAGAGGAUGAUCAGUCACACUGGAACUGAGACACGGUCCAGACUCCUACGGGAGGCAGCAGUGGGGAAUAUUGGACAAUGGGCGAAAGCCUGAUCCAGCCAUGCCGCGUGUGUGAAGAAGGUCUUCGGAUUGUAAAGCACUUUAAGUUGGGAGGAAGGGCAGUAAGUUAAUACCUUGCUGUUUUGACGUUACCAACAGAAUAAGCACCGGCUAACUUCGUG